rnacentral:rRNA from 1 species
UACGUAGGGGGCAAGCGUUGUCCGGAUUUACUGGGUGUAAAGGGUGCUCAGGUGGCUUUGUAAGUCAGCGGUGAAAUCUUAGAGCUCAACUCUGAAACUGCCGUUGAUACUACUUGGCUUGAGUAUGGAAGAGGUUGAUGGAAUUUACGGUGUAGCAGUGAAAUGCGUAGAUAUCGUAAGGAAGACCAGUGGCGAAGGCGAGUCUCUGGACAGCAACUGACGCUGAGGCACGAAGGCCAGGGGAGCAAACGGG